rnacentral:pre_miRNA from 1 species
UUACCUGAAAUUUGUAUGCAGCUGGAACAGUGCCCCUAGCGGCAAACAUAGGCAAGCGUUCCAACUUCAUACAAAUUUGACUUA